GAGUGAAGCGGCAAAAGCUCAAAUUUGAAAUCUGGCACCUUCGGUGUCCGAGUUGUAAUUUGAAGAAGGUAACUUUGGAGUUGGCUCUUGUCUAUGUUCCUUGGAACAGGACGUCACAGAGGGUGAGAAUCCCGUGCGAUGAGAUGCCCAAUUCUAUGUAAAGUGCUUUCGAAGAGUCGAGUUGUUUGGGAAUGCAGCUCUAAGUGGGUGGUAAAUUCCAUCUAAAGCUAAAUAUUGGCGAGAGACCGAUAGCGAACAAGUACAGUGAUGGAAAGAUGAAAAGAACUUUGAAAAGAGAGUGAAAAAGUACGUGAAAUUGUUGAAAGGGAAGGGCUUGAGAUCAGACUUGGUAUUUUGCGAUCCUUUCCUUCUUGGUUGGGUUCCUCGCAGCUUACUGGGCCAGCAUCGGUUUGGAUGGUAGGAUAAUGACUAAGGAAUGUGGCUCUACUUCGGUGGAGUGUUAUAGCCUUGGUUGAUACUGCCUGUCUAGACCGAGGACUGCGUCUUUUGACUAGGAUGUUGGCAUAAUGAUCUUAAGACACCCGUCUU
rnacentral:rRNA from 1 species